AGUGAACGCUGGCGGUAGGCCUAACACAUGCAAGUCGAACGGCAGCACAGUAAGAGCUUGCUCUUACGGGUGGCGAGUGGCGGACGGGUGAGGAAUACAUCGGAAUCUACUUUUUCGUGGGGGAUAACGUAGGGAAACUUACGCUAAUACCGCAUACGACCUACGGGUGAAAGCAGGGGAUCUUCGGACCUUGCGCGAUUGAAUGAGCCGAUGUCGGAUUAGCUAGUUGGCGGGGUAAAGGCCCACCAAGGCGACGAUCCGUAGCUGGUCUGAGAGGAUGAUCAGCCACACCGGAACUGAGACACGGUCCAGACUCCUACGGGAGGGAGCAGUGGGGAAUAUUGGACAAUGGGCGCAAGCCUGAUCCAGCCAUACCGCGUGGGUGAAGAAGGCCUUCGGGUUUUAAAGCCCUUUUGUUGGGAAAGAAAAGCAGCAGGUUAAUACCCCGCUGUUCUGACGGUACCCAAAGAAUAAGCACCGGCUAACUUCGUG
rnacentral:rRNA from 1 species